rnacentral:rRNA from 1 species
UUCGCAAUGCCCGAAAGGGUGACGAAGCGACGCCGCGUGGGUGAGGAAGGCCUUCGGGUUGUAAAGCCCUGUCAGGAGUUAAGAAGUGUAGACUCGCUAAUAUCGGGUCUAUUUGACAAAGGCUCCAAAGGAAGCCACGGCUAACUCUGUGCCAGCAGCCGCGGUAAUACAGAGGUGGCAAGCGUUGUUCGGAAUUAUUGGGCGUAAAGAGCACGUAGGUGGAUUUGUAAGUCAGACGUGAAAGCCUUCUGUUCAACGGAAGAAUUGCAUCUGAAACUACAAACCUUGAGUGUAGGAGGGGAGAAUGGAACUUCUGGUGGAGCGGUGAAAUGCGUAGAUAUCAGAAGGAACGCCGGCGGCGAAAGCGAUUCUCUGGCCUAUUACUGACACUCAGUGUGCGAAAGCUAGGGGAGCAAACGGGAUUAGAUACCCCGGUAGUCCUAGCCGUAAACGAUGGGCACUAAGUAGAGGGGUUA